UCGAGUUUCACGCCUAUAUUGGCGAUCAUCAGACUGCCUGUCCGUAUUAAAACGUCCUUAUUUAUACCUAUUUUAAACUAUAUAAAAUUAGCAUAAACCUUUACAUAAUUACAAUUAAAAUUAUUUACGUUACAUUACUAGCAUAAAACUUGUUUUCAUGUCGACAUUUUGAUAUUAAUUCUGAUCGUUUGUUUAGAAGAGUUCCCUUGUGAGCGUU